AUAGCAAUAUAAAUGUUCUCAUAAAUCUUUAUUUAAGUAAUAUUUUCCGUGAAACAGAAUGCUAACAAUAGUUUAUGGAUUAGCCUUUGAGGAAGUCCAGAGUGACAAAACGCAUCAGGCGGGGCCUAGUGACGUCAGCCAAGGUGCGCCCGAGAAGGAAUACGAUGUGAGGAGGGGAAUAUGCCGGCUUGAACAAACUCAGCCCCCAACACAACGGAUCGGGUAGAGACGCUUGGAAACUGGAAACAACUGCUAAGUGCCCAUUUUGCAUGUUUUUAUGGCUGCGGAACUCGGGGGCAAUUAUCUCCUAUCUAAACCGUGGAUUUGUGGGCAAUCCAGCCUAAACGCUAGAAGAACAGAAGCAGAAGGCAGUUUCCUUAGAUAAUGAUGGAUCCCCUCAUGUGUUUUGCAUGCAGAAUUCUACAGGCUGCUUGCAACUACCUGGUGGGGAAUCAUUGGUCAUCAUGGUUUUAAAUUUUGGCGUGGUCAGGAGUGUUCGUGUGGGAGGUGUUCAGCAAGGGCAAGAUACCAUUUGAACAUUUUUCAACUCCGUGGCUGUGGAUAAAAUCUCAGCUGGACUGAGGCUCUUCAUACAUGCUGAUGAACAACUGCUGGGCAAUCUAUUGGGAAUGUGUUGGGGCUGAGACACCGUCUAGGGAUCAAUGUUUUCGCUGCAUGUAGGAGACGCAAGGAAUAUAAUCCUCAAGGUGAGGGCCCUGGGAUGUUUCCUCCUCAUUCACUGGAACAUCGCUAUUGGGAUUAGUUAAUUGAGGCUGUUGUAGCUCCACGUUGACUGAUUCCGCCUCCUCGGCUUCUUCAGCUUCAGUCAGGUAUGAAAGAACAGCUUUAUAUUUUCAUCUGCCUUACCUCAGUAUGCCGGUGCCGACAUGAGAUGCCGCAAACUUUGGCGCCCAUCUUGAAACUCCUGUAAAAGAAAAGAAAGUUUGCCUUUGAGGAAGUCCAGAGUGACAUAACGCAUCAGGCGGGGCCUAGUGACGUCAGCCAAGGUGCGCCCGAGAAGGAAUACGAUGUGAGGAGGGGAAUAUGCCGCCUUGAACAAACUCAGCCCCCAACACAACGGAUCGGGUAGAGACGCUUGGAAACUGGAAACAACUGCUAAGAGCCCAUUUUGCAUGUUUUAUCCCAUCUACUUUUCAUCGUUCCAAUUUUUUUUUGAAACUGUAAUGCUGUAAUUAAGCCCUAUCAUCCAGACUGCAGCUGCAAUUGCAGGUCUGUGAAUGAACAGACAAAAUCAGAAAUACCCCUUGCAUAUCAUUCCAGCAAGCCCCCUGCAGGGCUGUGGAACUCGGGGGCAAUUGUCUCCUAUCUAAACCGUGGAUUUGUGGGCAAUCCGGCCUAAAUGCUGGAAGUAAAGAAGCAGAAGGCAGUUUCCUGAGAUAAUGAUGGAUCCCCUCAUGUGUUUUACAUGCAGAAUUCUACAGGUUAGUAAAGGGAAAGACUAUUUUGGGAAAUAGAAAAUAUUAGAACCAGUUAUUGCACACUUAUUGCGAGUGGCGGCGAGUCAAAUGCAGAGACAUAAAAUCAUAAAAUGUCUAAUAAUAAAGGUUGUCUUAAGGACCAAGGAUUAUGUUAAAUAAUGUGCAUCAAGUACAAUGAGAUAAAAUGCUUCUGUGCAAUUAAUAUUUCAGAAACUUUACUAUAAUAAAUAAGUAAAAUGACACAUGAAACAAUGACAGAUUUCAGUAAGUAAAAAAGAACCAUUUUUAAAUAUUCUCUUUGUAAUGGAGCCAUACAACCCAAAGAAUUGGGGAUUAAGCCAC